AGCGAACGUUUGCGGCGGGCCUAACACAUGCAAGUCGAACGGGCUGUCCUUCGGGGCAGUCAGUGGCGCACGGGUGCGUAACACGUAGGUAAUCAACCCUCGGGUUCGGGAUAACACUGCGAAAGAGGUGCUAAUACCGGAUGCGACGGUCAGCUCUUCGGAGUUGGUCGGGAAAGAUCCGCAAGGAUUGCCCGAGGACGAGCCUGCGGCCCAUCAGCUUGUUGGUGAGGUAAAGCUCACCAAGGCUAAGACGGGUAGCUGGUCUGAGAGGAUGAUCAGCCACACUGGAACUGAGACACGGUCCAGACUCCUACGGGAGGCAGCAGUGGGGAAUAUUGCGCAAUGGACGAAAGUCUGACGCAGCCACGCCGCGUGAGCGAUGAAGGCCCUCGGGUCGUAAAGCUCUGUGGGGAGAGAAGAAUAAAGCCGGUGAAGAGCCGGCCCUGACGGUAUCUCCUUAGCAAGCACCGGCUAACUCCGUGCCAG
rnacentral:rRNA from 1 species